ACGGAACGUAUAUGGUUGAGGAGCUGUAAGAAGAUUACAGUAAAAGAUGUGCGCACAUGGAGGGAAUUAUCACGGCGAGAUCGAGGAGGCAUGCUUUCCACCCUACCAGAUUUACCACUCUUCAGAGGCAUCGUGGAGAAGAUCACCUUAUUGUCUUGGUAUAUGGUUUGGGUGAAAAUCGGUUGAAAGAAAUUUCAUUUAGUGAUCAUGACUUUGAAGAUGGGGAGUCCUUCCCUGAGGAGGGCUUGCUGCCGUCCAGCCUCCAAUCUCUUUCAUUCUCAGGUUGUCACAACUUGAGAAGAUUAAAUUACAGGGGUCUUCUCCACCUUCAUUCCCUUGCUUCCUUAUCUUUUCCAGACUGUCCAAACAUGAGUUUUGAAGGCAUGCCAGAAAAUGGUUUCCCUCCAUCCCUUUCUCAUUUAUCUAUCCAAGAUUGUUUCGUUGUUGGAGGAGAGGUGUAAAAAUCAGACAGCACCAGAUUGGCCUAAAAUUGCUCGUAUCCCUCAUGUCUCCAUACGCAGAGCUUGACUCUCAUUCUGCUCAAAGACAUUCCUAUAGCUAAUAUCUCAAGUUUCUUGGAGCAGAACAACAUCAUUUAUCAAUACUGCUUAUUCUGGAAAAGAUUCCUGAAGCUCCAUUCUGCAGUUUCUUAGAACAGCACAUGAAAACUGCUUGUGAUGCUUGAAAAGCAUCAGAAAGAAAAUGGAAUUUCUGGCUUGGUGAGAUUUCAAAAAACAGAGUGAAGGAAAUUUCUCAAAUGAAUGAAUGAAUAGAUCAGAAGUGUGGAGUGAAAUAUAUCAGAGAAGAGUUUUGUGCACAUGCUAGCUGAGUUAAGGAAAACUUCAUGUGGCAUAUAUGAAUGUCAGAAACAAUUAAGGAAAUAGAAUUCAACUUUGAGCUUCUCAUAUGAUGGGAGUUGAGACAACUUUUAGAAUGCCAGAAUCUCUUCUUUUUUUUUUUUUGCUGGUUAUUUGUUUCUUUGAUUUAUUUUUCGUGUAUUUUUUUCUUUUUCUUUUUUUUUGUUUGGUUGGUAUUGUUUAUUUUUUAUUUUAGAAAGUAAUAGGCUUUAUAGUUUUUAGCUGGUAAUGAUGAUCUUUAAAAUUUUGAUGUAUUUAUUUUUGUUGAUUGUGUAACCACAGUAUUCCUCCGUUAUAAGAGAGGGUUUAUUAAUAAAAUUGGAGGUAGGGAUCAAAGAGAAAGAUUUUCUCUCUCUCCCCUCUCCAACUUAAUCCUAGGAAUAAGAAAUGUGUAUGCUACUUUUAUGGUACUGAAGUGAUG